rnacentral:lncRNA from 1 species
GAACCCUGUUCCGCUCCUCUUGGAACUCCCACCAUGUAGACACUGAGGGCAGGUGUGUUGUGCCUAGUGAAUGCGCUGCUUCUGGCAGAGAAGAAGCUGCUGAACAAAGUCUACAUCCUGAAGGAUAUUGACUGGGGCUUGAGGAAUUAGCAGAAGAAGGGAAAUGGAGGGAACAGGACAAAGGGAGAGAAAAAACCUUAAGGGAGGAAGAAAAGUGAGUCCAAGAGUGUUUAAGCCAUCAAUCAAGGUCCAGGGGGCAGAAUGGACCACGAGGAGAAGCAAAAUCUUCGAGAGACGACAUCUCCGCCAUUUACUCAGGCAAGUUAAUUAACCUCUUUGAAACUGAAUUUUCUUUUCAAAAUGGCAAUUUUUUAAAAGGAAAUAAUUAUAGGGAUGUGAAAAAAAAUACUUAAAAGACGAACUGAGUUCGUUCUGAGAAGAGUGAGCACACACUUGUUGAAGAUAAUAGAUG